rnacentral:rRNA from 1 species
GAAGGCCUCUAUAUUUUUUUUAAAGGCACAAGAUUCUGUCUGAUCUUGGAAGCUAAGCAAGGACAGCCCUGGUUAGUACUUGAAUAGGAGACUGCCAGUGAAUAUCGGGGCCUGAA